rnacentral:lncRNA from 1 species
ACCUGUGUUCCCAUUGUGCCUUGGUGUCCCCUGCAGCUCCCCCACUGCCCUUGGCGCUCUGGUCUGCCAGGCCACCGUUCUCACAGGCAGCACAGGCCUUCUGUUCCUGGGGGUCGGAGCGAUGUCCGAUGUCCCCCCCCCCCCAGGUCCCAUCUCCUCUUUCCCGUGACCAUUCUUGUUCCGCUCCCACUCGGGCUGUGACAUCGCUUGCUGGGGUUUCUUCUUUCCUCUUGUGGGUCUUUCCCAGCAGGUGUUCCCUUCUUCUGUGGGGGAAUGGCCUCUGUCUGGGAUCCUGUUCUGCCUUGGUUCCCGGUGGACGUGGGCGAGGGAGCCCAGGCUGUCGCCUGUCUCCCGGGAUGCCCAGGUGCUCUUCGCAUGGUCCAUGUGCACGUCUCUUCUCGUGAAUGAUUUCAAGGCUCUUCUUGUGUGUGACAUCAGUGGGUUUUGUUUUCUGUAACUUCAUCUUGCUCGGGGCUUUGCCUCUGCUGACCAUGGGCUUAGCUUAUGCAUUUCUGUGAAGACUUCACGUGCCCUGUGCCGAUGGCGAUGGGCCUUGCAGCAGUUCUUCUGAGUUCCUCGGCUCUCUACUCGCUUUGCUGAGGGAGCUCAUGCUGUUAGCUUCCGCUGCAGGGCCAGUGGUUGGGUCGGCCUUCACUCGGGGCAGAGGGACCUGGGAUCAGGGCCUUCCCGAGGGAGACAGGCCGAGGGCACUCAGCUCCCUUCCCUGGACCUGCGGGGCAGAGUCAAUGGGGAGAAGGAGCUGCAGGGAGGGCCGAGGCCCAGGGA